rnacentral:lncRNA from 1 species
GUACGGUAUUGGAAGCAUAAGGACCUUAUCUUUCAUAUCAGCGAGAAAUCAUUUUCAAAAAACAAAAGAUGAAAUUGAUACAUACCUUGGUAGGGUUAGGGUUCCCACAUGGUCAUAUUUCCACGUUACAGCGCUUAUUUACAUAAAACUGACAGAAGACAAGAUGCUAACCUGUGCUAAUUAGCCACUCCGCAUGCUCAGAACACAUUUGCGUAAAAGCGUAACUCGGGAAGUGUACUUUCGUUAGAUGGAGGCGCUCAUUGCUGUGUGUAUCUGAGAAAAACUGCUACAGGCCGUGGGGUGAGACAGGGAUGCAGCUUAAGCCCCACCCUCUUCAACAUAUAUAUCAACGAAUUGGCAAGGGCACUAGAACAGUCUGCAGCACCCGGCCUCACCCUACUAGAAUCUGAAGUCAAAUGUCUACUGUUUGCUGAUGAUCUGGUUCUUCUGUCACCAACCAAGGAGGACCUACAGCAGCACCUAGAUCUUCUGCACAGAUUCUGCCAGACCUGGGCCCUGACAAUAAAUCUCAAGCCCACAUCAUCACAGCAGGCCUCCCCAGUGCAACAACUUGUCUAUCUAUCUGGUGGCGUGCAGAGGACAGGCUAGCUGGUUGGCUGCUGAGGUUUGGACCAGCACCAGCCUGACUUAUUGAUCUGGUUGCAUCACUGCCUGGUAUGGCAACUGCUCGGCCUCCCACCGCAAGGCACUACAGAGGGUAGUGCGUACGGCCCAGUACAUCACUGGGGCCAAGCUUCCUGCCAUCCAGGAUAUCAGGCGGCAUCAGAGGAUGGCCCUAAAAAUUGUCAAAGACUCCAGCCACCCUAGUCAUAGACUGUUCUCUCUGCUACUGCACGGCAAGCGGUACCAGAGCACCAAGUCUAGGUCCAAAAGGCUUCUUAACAGCUUCUACCCCCAAGCCAUAAGGCUCCUGAACAGCUAAUCAAAGUGCUACCCAGACCCCUCUUUUACGCUGCUGCUACUCUCUGUUUAUUAUCUAUGCAUAGUCACUUUAAUAACUCUACCUACAUGUACUUAUUACCUCAAUUACCUUGACACCGGUGCCCCCGCAAUUUGACUCUGUACCGGUACCCCCUGUAUAUAGCCCUGCUAUUUUUAUUUACUGCUG